rnacentral:rRNA from 1 species
AGUGAACGCUGGCGGUAGGCCUAACACAUGCAAGUCGAACGGCAGCACAGUAAGAGCUUGCUCUUACGGGUGGCGAGUGGCGGACGGGUGAGGAAUACAUCGGAAUCUACUUUUUCGUGGGGGAUAACGUAGGGAAACUUACGCUAAUACCGCAUACGACCUACGGGUGAAAGCAGGGGAUCUUCGGACCUUGCGCGAUUGAAUGAGCCGAUGUCGGAUUAGCUAGUUGGCGGGGUAAUGGCCCACCAAGGCGACGAUCCGUAGCUGGUCUGAGAGGAUGAUCGGCCACACUGGAACUGAGACACGGUCCAGACUCCUACGGGGGGCAGCAGUGGGGAAUAUUGGACAAUGGGCGCAAGCCUGAUCCAGCCAUACCGCGUGGGUGAAGAAGGCCUUCGGGUUGUAAAGCCCUUUUGUUGGGAAAGAAGAGCAGCAGGUUAAUACGCCGCUGUUCUGACGGUACCCAAAGAAUAAGCACCGGCUAACUUCGUG